CAAUCUUUUUUUUAAAUUUUUUUGGAAAAACUUCAAAAACUCCCUGUAAUUUCUUAUUUUUCAUUUUCUUACCCUUUGAUUUAAAAUGUAUCAAGUUAAUACCCUAUGAUUUCGCACUUUCUCAUUUUAGUACCAUAUGGUUUAAAGUAUAUCAAAUUAGUAUUCUGUGAUUUUAUUUUUAUAUCAAAUUAGUAUCUUGUAGUUUUAUUUUUUUCUUUUUAUUAUCCAUUUUGGGAUAUUUUUUUCGUUAAAUCAAUAACAAAGUUAAAACUAAAGGAUACUAAAAUUAAUAUUCGAUAAACCUAAGUAAGGUAUCUAAAGUUUUUUUGUAUAUAAUUUAACGAAAUAUUAAACCACAAGGUACUAAAGUGAGAAAUUGUGAAACCACAUGGUACUAACUUGAUACACUUUAAACCACAGUAUAGUAAAGUAAAAAAGUGCGAAAACACAGGGUACUAACUUGACACACUUUAAAUCACAGAGUACUAAAGUGAGAAAGUGCGAAACUAUAGGGUGCUAACUUGAUAAACUUUAAACUAUAGAAUACUAAAGUAAAAAAAUACAAAACUACAUGAGACUAACUUGAUACACUUUAAACUAUAGAGUACUAAAGUGAGAAAAUACGAAACUACAUGGUACUAUAAAUUUAUUGUUCCAUUUUUAAAGUUUCAAUUUAUUAUCCUACCUCUCAUUUUAUUUGAUUUGUAUCGGCCAGCGAUAUUUUAAUUUUAAAAUUUAAAAUAUUUUAUUAAUAUACUUAGUGCCAUUUUAUUAUUAUAAAUUAAUUAAAAUAAAGUAAAUUCUUUUUUUAAAAUGUUAGAUAAUAGAUUGGAAAUAGUCUAAUAUAAUUCAGAUAAGUUCUAUAAUUUUUAU
rnacentral:lncRNA from 1 species